GAUGAACGCUGGCGGCGUGCCUAAUACAUGCAAGUCGAGCGAAUGGAUUAAGAGCUUGCUCUUAUGAAGUUAGCGGCGGACGGGUGAGUAACACGUGGGUAACCUGCCCAUAAGACUGGGAUAACUCCGGGAAACCGGGGCUAAUACCGGAUAACAUUUUGAACCGCAUGGUUCGAAAUUGAAAGGCGGCUUCGGCUGUCACUUAUGGAUGGACCCGCGUCGCAUUAGCUAGUUGGUGAGGUAACGGCUCACCAAGGCAACGAUGCGUAGCCGAACUGAGAGGCGGAUCGGCCACACUGGGACUGAGACACGGCCCAGACUCCUACGGGAGGCAGCAGUAGGGAAUCUUCCGCAAUGGACGAAAGUCUGACGGAGCAACGCCGCGUGAGUGAUGAAGGCUUUCGGGUCGUAAAACUCUGUUGUUAGGGAAGAACAAGUGCUAGUUGAAUAAGCUGGCACCUUGACGGUACCUAACCAGAAAGCCACGGCUAACUACGUGCCAGCAGCCGCAGUAA
rnacentral:rRNA from 1 species